AUGUGUGUGCCAAAGAGCAAUGGAGGUAUGGGUUUUAGAGAUGUACACUGCUUCAACCUGGCGCUCCUAGCUAAGCAGUGCUGGAGACUGCUAGCAGAACCAGAUUCGUUUUGUGCCAGAGUAUUGAGGGCAAAGUACUUCCCGGACGGUGAUUUAUUGAAUUGUACCCUCAAGAAAGGGAGUUCUUAUACAUGGCAAAGCUUGUGGAGUGGUGUUCAGACUUUCAAAAAAGGAUAUAUAUGGAGAGUGGGAGAUGGCACACAAAUAAGCAUUUGGAGUGAUCCAUGGGUACCUAGCAGCCCAAACAGGAAGGUAAUGACUCCACGAGGUAGUAUCAUACUCAACAAAAUUUCUGAACUUAUGGACGAGGAGAAUGGUUGUUGGGAUGAGCAACUUAUCAGACACAUAUUCUGGCCCAUUGAUGCAAAUCGUAUUUUGAAUAUACCCCUGGCUACGGGAAUGAUGGAGGAUUUUGUUUCAUGGCACUACAACAAAUCUGGAAUUUUCUCGGUCAAGAUGGCUUAUCACAUGGAGUGGGAUCAUCAACACGGACGAAAGUUGAGACAAACGAAUUCGGUAUUGUCCUCAAGUACUAGUCCUGUUUGGCGCAUUCUAUGGAAGCUUCGAGUACCGGCAAAAAUAAAAGUGCAUGUAUGGCGAGCUCUAUAUGGUGCAAUUCCGUGCCGGGGUGUGUUGGCAAACCGUCAUACGAUCACAACAUCGGACUGCCCAAUUCGUGAAUCAGACUACGAGAGUGUUCACCAUUCGUUUUUCAGAUGCAACAGAGUCCAAGAAAUCUGGGCAAAGCUUGGUUUGAUUUCGACUAUA
rnacentral:rRNA from 1 species